UUCCUGAACCCUUCUCCUUCCGCUCUCCCGCCCCUGCAGGCUGUGUGCCGGGCUGGGAAGAAAGUGUGACCCGCUUGAUGGAACAAAGGACAAGACAGCCCGGCCCGGUGCGGCCACUGCGGAGCGUUAGGAACGUUCCCUAAAAUGGCGGCCGGCGCGUCGGGACAGGGCGGGAGGCGGCGUCGCGUGGGGGCGGGACGGGGAGGGGCGCGGCGGGCCGGGCUUCUGCUCCGGCGACCCCGGCGGUGCAGGGCGGGUGGAGUCGCGGAGUCGUCCUCAUGGCCGCCGCGCCGGAGCCCGGUGAGCCCGAGGAGAGGAAGGUAGAAUUAGAAGAUCAUGUGAUGUUGGAGUAGGAGGGUUUAUCUUGGUGACUUUGGGAUGCUGGUAUGUUUGCUAAGUAUUCAAGAACAUCCAUGAUUAUAGUAGGUUAUCUAAUUCAAAAAGCACAUGCUCUUUUCAGAGCAAUCUCCCAUUGGGAGAUCCUCACCCUCAAUGAAGAAUCUUGAUUUUUCAGGACAUUUUCAUGGAAAUCUGUCUUAAAAUGCUUGAACAGAUAAAUGCAUAUUAGACAUCCCAUUAAAAAGAAAGCUGUUUUACACUUCACUUAGGAAAGCCUCAACCAUUUCCCUUACCCUAAUACUUAUUUCAUCCCUGCUUAUUCAUAUCUGAAAAUGCUACUUUAAGAAUGUGUUUACAACUACUGAUGAGUGAAUAUAAAAUAUGGAUGAACCUCAAAUAUUUGCCAGACCUAAGAGUACGGUAUGUAUGUACUAUAUGGUUCCAUUUAUACAUGAAUUUCUACAGUAAGCUAUUUAAGGUGAUAGAAAUCAUUUUAUGUAGACAUAGCAUUAUUAUCCCAUUAAAAAUGAGAGCAAAUACUAGUUUCUUAUAAUAACCAAUGCUAUCAGAAGACUUAAAACUAAUGGAUUUUAUCACUUUACAAAUUGUUUAUGUAGACAUCCUUUUUUUCCCUAAUAAAAAAGAAUGUGUUGAUAGGUAUUCUGACACCAAAACUGCCCAGAAAUAGCACUAUAAAUUAGAACAUAUUUUUCAGUCUCAGGGUAGUCAUCUGUAAGUAUUUAAGUUUUGUGUAAUUUAUAGAGAAAUUUCAUAAAUUAAUUUCUGUAGGACUUUAUAUUAACAAUUUAUUCAUAUUCUUUUCUUUCAAGGUUUCAUUGUAGGUAUAAUUAUGCAAAGCAAAGAAUCCAGGAAAGAAUUGCCAGAGAAGAAAUAAAAAAGAAGAUAUUAUAUGAAGGUACCCACCUCGAUCCUGAAAGAAAACACAACGGCAACAGCAGCAAUUGAACAAUCUUGAGCAUAGAAAAGAAGUCAGUGUAAACGAAGUUAAGAUCAACCACAUAAAACAUUUCAUGUGCAAUAAGCUCUCAAUCAAGUAAAUAAAGUUUAAGUUGUAGUCAUUUUUUUUCCCACACUUGUAUGGAAUGAAAACUUGCCAAUUUAUUCUGGCCCUGUGUCUACUACCAGGAUAGCAUUCUUACGUGUUACAUAUAGUGGACUUGUCAUCCUUAAAAUGUGAACAGAAUUUAUUGGCAGUGUGGCAAAGGAUUAUAAAACCUAGUGUUUAAUGUACUUGGAAAGAGUUUCCCUUGUAGUAAUAAGUAUAGAGUUUAACGAUAAGUAAACUUCCCUUAACAAAAACCUCAACCUUAUUACUAUCCCAUUAAAAAGCAGCAAAUACUUACUGACUUCUUGUAAUAGCUAAUGUCAUUGUAAGAUUUUAAACUAAGGGAUUUUAUCGCUUUGCAAAUUAUUUUUUAAAUGCAUUCAUCAUUUGACAGUGUUCUCUCAUUUCUUAAAAUGUGAGUCAUCUUCCAAAAGAGUUGUUUUUAACUGCCCUAAACAUUUUUGGGGAAGUAUGCAGGGUUUAUAUUUUUAAGUAUAAUUCGUUCUGAAUUUAAAUAUGCACAUGGAACUUGUCUGGCAGACUGAUGGAACAGAAAAAUAACUGCAGAAUUACUAUCAAUGUAGACAAUCCUUUUGAAAGUCAAUCAGCUGCUCCCAUUAAAAUAUUAUUUAAAAUACAAGAAUACCCACAGCAUCUAACUAAAUCCUCAGGAUUUAUUCUCCGGGAGAAAUUAUCCCUUUCUAGGAAAAUGAAGUUAUUUCUGGUUUUAAUCCGUACAGUACUUUAAGAAAAUCUAUUAAAUACAACAAAACACAAGCUAGAUGCUUAAGAAAUGCUUCAAGAAAUAUUGGGGGGAAGAUACCAGCAGUCAAUAGGAUUGUGGCCAUUACUGGUCCUAUUAUUUUGAUGUACCAUGGAAGGCACAGAAAUAGAGCAAGGAAGAAAAUAUUAGUUAUUUUGAUCUACGUCUUUUUCUAAAGAAAAGUGGAGCUUGCUCCAGUUCAAUUCACAAGAGCAUUUUCCCUCCCAUGCCCACCUUUUCUUGUGGCUGUCGCUAGGAAGGUUAUGAUGCAGAGGCUGUGUGGUUUACCAAAUGCCUUAACUUAGCAGUGAAUGACACUGUCAAACACACGUUGAGGGAAAAUUUUUACUGAUUGACAAAAAGGAAGACAGUUAAACUGCCCACUCUUAGUGGCACAAAUCAAAGCUGCAUGCAGUCUACAUUAUCCAAAUUAGUCGUAACCAAAUAGUUAAAAAAUUCCACCGGGUACGGUGGCUCACACCUGUAAUCUCAGCACUUUGGGAGGCCGAGGCAGUUGGAUCACCUGAGGUUAGGAGUUUGAGACCAGCCUGGCCAACAGGGUGAAACCCUGUCUUGUCUAAAAAUACAAAAAUUAGCCAGGCGUGGUGGUGCAUGCCUGUAGUCCCAGGUACUCGGGAGGCUGAGGCAUAAGAAUCACUUGAACCUGAGGUGGGGCAGACGGAGGUUGCAGUGAGCCAAGAUCGCGCCAUUGCACUCUAGCCUAGGUGACGGAGUGAGACUCCCCAUCUCAAAAAAAAAAAAAAAAAAAAUUCCAUACCAUGUUUUCAGAGGCAGCACUGUAUGAAUGUGGGAAAAUAUUGAUGAUCACUAAUCAAUAAUCUGAUAUUUAACAAACUGGGGACAGGCCACUUAUGCUGUUUUACCUUAGUUAUUCCUUGGUAUCCACAGGCCCAAGUCCCUUUAAAUAAAAUGCCCUCAUAUUUGCAUAAUCUACAUUCUCCCAUAUACUUUAAAUCAUCUCUAGAUUACUUACAAUGCCUAAUACAAAAUAAAUGCUAUGUAAAU